rnacentral:lncRNA from 1 species
GAGUGGUUUUUGAGAUUUAAAAUGCUAAUUUUGUCCUUAACUUGAAGGCAAAUAAGAAAUAUUGGUGAUGGUAGAAGGGUAUAUUGAAAAAGAUCAAAAGUCAAAAUACUUUUUGUGUCCCUAACUUUAAGGCAAAUAAGAAAGCCAGUAAUGAUGGAAGGUUAUAUUUGAAAAAGUAAAAUAAAAAUUUUAUAGAAAUAACAUAGUUUAUUAACAAAUUUUAACUCUAGGGGUAUAUUAAAAAUAGGUUGGAAUGUAAAAUGAAUAUUUUCAAUAUUAACCUUCUAAGAGAAGUAAAUUGAAAAGUCGGAAAUUUUUCAGGAAUACAUAAGCAAUUGCCCCUUUAUAGUUCUAUACU